rnacentral:rRNA from 1 species
CCUACGGGAGGCUGCAGUGGGGAAUAUUGCACAAUGGGGGAAACCCUGAUGCAGCGACGCCGCGUGAGUGAAGAAGUAUUUCGGUACGUAAAGCUCUAUCAGCAGGGAAGAAAAUGACGGUACCUGACUAAGAAGCCCCGGCUAACUACGUGCCAGCAGCCGCGGUAAUACGUAGGGGGCAAGCGUUAUCCGGAUUUACUGGGUGUAAAGGGAGCGUAGACGGCAGCGCAAGUCAGGAGUGAAAUCCCAUGGCUUAACCAUGGAACUGCUUUGGAAACUGUGCAGCUAGAGUGCAGGAGAGGUAAGCGGAAUUCCUAGUGUAGCGGUGAAAUGCGUAGAUAUUAGGAGGAACACCAGUGGCGAAGGCGGCUUACUGGACUGUAACUGACGUUGAGGCUCGAAAGCGUGGGGAGCAAACAGGAUUAGAUACCCCAGUAGUC